UAUUACACUGAUUCCAGAGAUGGUGAUCAGGAAAAUACUGUCUGUGCUCCUCAGAAGGACUUGAUGCGAACUGUUGCCAGAGAUUUGUCACUCGGUGGAUGGAGUGCGGGAUGGAACAUAGCAGCUCCUGCUGGUGCCUUUGUCAUUGCUCCAAAGUGUGAGACCACUCGUGCAGCAAGGGGAGGGAGAGGGAUCAGAGCUCAGGAUGGUCCUCAGGUGGAGAAAGGCAGCAUGGAGAUGGCUACAGUGAGAAGAUCAAUGCUCAAGCAAGGCCACCGGGUUCAUGCCAGCACCCAGAGACCAGGGCUCUGGUGUCCCCAGCCCACAUGCAGUGAUAUCCAAAAGAGCAUGGGAUGUGACAGAAGUCACCCAUCAGAGACAGGCACGUGGGAGUGUAGCAAGAGAUGUUUUGUAAUCAUAAAAGCAACCAACAGCAUUGUAAAGGCCGCAAAGCAGAGACUGGUGAGAAUGUGUAGCUCCAACAUUCAGCAUGAAUUGGCAAAGCAGGCAUGUAAGUAAUCAUAGAGGGCCAUUGUGCGACUGAGUCCAAACUGCUGUUUGAUGAAAUUACUUCUCUGAAUAAGUCUCACUUAACCUAC
rnacentral:lncRNA from 1 species